AUUAUCGAUUAAACACCGUGAUUUUCUGUGGUGCAGCCAGCCUGACAAUUAAUGUGCCGCAUCGGGCAGUGACAUAUCACCAUUUUAGCUGCAAGGUAGGCCAUCAUGAGGCCAUCGGUCACUGUUUUCUGUCUGUUUAUUUAUCUGGAUCCGUGAGAGGGGCACGAAGCGUUUCGGCGGUGUCUGUCACUCUGUGUCGGUGAAGCGAAUUGGACUGGACAGUUGUGCUGCAGUUACUGUGCACUGGCUGAUUGACAAGAGAAACAUUUUGUGUACCAGCAACAAUGAAUAUUUCGCUGUCUGGAAAACGUGUCCUCAUCACCGGCGCCGGCCGAGGGAUCGGCCGAGCCUUGGCGAUCCGCGCGGCCGCCUGCGGGGGUCACGUGAUAGCCCUGUCCCGGACCCAGGAACACCUGGACACCCUGAAGACCGAGUGUCCCUCGGUGGAGACGGUGGCCUGCGAUCUCAGCGACUGGGAGGCGACACGCAAGGCGGUCGAGGCUCUGGGACCCGUGGACUGUCUCGUCAACAACGCGGGAACCAACACUCUCAACAAGUUUCUCGACGUAACGCCAUCUGAGUUUGAUGAUGUCAUGAACGUCAACCUGAAGUCAGUCUUCAAUGUAUCCCAGGUGGUGGCCCGAGGUAUGAUAGCUCGCGGCGCCGGAGGCGCCAUCGUCAACAUUUCCUCGCAGGCGUCUGUGCGCCCGCUCCACGGCCAUGCAGUCUACUGCGCCUCGAAGGCGGCGCUGGACCACCUGACGCGCGUCAUGACGCUCGAGCUGGGACCCAAGGGGAUCCGCGUCAACUGUGUCAACCCGACCGUCGUGCUGACUGACCUGGGUCGAAGUCACUGGUCGGACCCGGCGCGCGCCGAGCCGAUGCUGAGGGCGAUCCCGAUGGGCCGGUUCGCCGAGGUGGAAGACGUGCUCGGCUCGGUGAUCUUUCUGCUCAGCGACCACGCGGCGCUUAUCAGCGGGGUCACGCUGCCCGUGGACGGUGGGUUCACCGCCUGCUGAACCGCCGAACCGAGCACUGAACCGCUAAACCUCCGCACCGCCUACUGAACCGCCGCAACGACUACUGAACCGCCGCACCGCCACACUGCCUGCUGAACCUUCCCACCGACUACUGGGCUGCUACACCGCCUGCUGAACCGCCGCACCGACUUCUGAUACAUGCGAUCGACGAUGCUUACGUACUUCGCGUGGUAUUGUGGUCGCGGCUUUCGUACUGGGUUUGCCAUACUAAUUUGUCAUCUACUCGGGAUACUCGGUCGUAUUCUCUGUGGAAUACUUUGCUUUCGUAGGGAAUGAGCCGCUCAAUAGAUGUAGCUGUGCUGAACAAAAUACAAAACUAGAAUGCUGCACUUGGACCACGUGAUCCAUGAACUAGCACUGAUGACUUUUUAUCUUGCUCGGUUGUACGCAUUCAGGCCUUGCAUCAAUUGUUACUGGGUGCCUGUAGUUUCAGGAAUAGCAGCACAGUGAUUAUAUGUUUCCCACCUGCACUAUGUUCUUAUAUCGAUCUUAUUAACCAAUGGCCGUGAAUCGAACCUCUCAAUGAGGCUUGUUUUGUAUUCUACAACAAUAUAUUUUGCCAUUAAUAA
rnacentral:misc_RNA from 1 species